rnacentral:rRNA from 1 species
AGAGUUUGAUCCUGGCUCAGAGUAAACGUUGGCGGCGUGCCUAACACAUGCAAGUCGAACGAUCUCCUUGUAGCUUGCUAUUUGGAGAGAGUGGCGAACGGGUGAGUAACACGUGGGUAAUCUCCCCUCGAGUGAGGAAUAACUCCGCGAAAGCGGAGAUAAUACCGCAUAAUAUUCUGGAGCAUAUGCUUUCAGAAUCAAAGCUUUCCGAGCAAUCGGAUGGCGCUUGAGGAUGAGCCUGCGGCCUAUUAGCUAGUUGGUAGGGUAAUGGCCUACCAAGGUAAUGAUGGGUAGCCGGCCUGAGAGGGUGUACGGCCACACUGGGACUGCGACACGGCCCAGACUCCUACGGGAGGCAGCAGUGGGGAAUUUUGCGCAAUGGGCGAAAGCCUGACGCAGCGACGCCGCGUGGAGGAUGAAGGCCUUCGGGUUGUAAACUCCUGUCAGAGGAAAAGAAGCCCCGAUUUAUCGGGGUCGACGGUAUCCUCAGAGGAAGCCCCGGCUAACUACGUGCCAGCAGCCGCGGUAAUACGUAGGGGGCAAACGUUGCUUGGAAUUACUGGGCGUAAAGGGUGUGUAGGUGGCUGAGUAAGUCAAAGAUGAAAUCCCAAGGCUCAACCUUGGAACUGUCUUUGAAACUGUUCAGCUUGAGGAUAGUAGAGGAGGACGGAAUUCCCGGUGGAGCGGUGAAAUGCGUAGAUAUCGGGAGGAACACCAGAGGCGAAGGCGGUUCUCUAAACUAUUCCUGACACUGAAACACGAAAGCUAGGGGAGCAAACGGGAUUAGAUACCCCGGUAGUCCUAGCUGUAAACGAUGGGCACUAGAUGUUUUCGCUUUUUUGCGAAAGUGUCGUAGCUAACGCGUUAAGUGCCCCGCCUGGGGAGUACGGUCGCAAGGCUGAAACUCAAAUGAAUUGACGG